AUAGACGUCUCUGUAUAUUAUUCUGACCAGUGAUUGUGAGUGUACUUGAAAUCCGCGUAUACUGACACAUACGAGCGUGGAUAACCUCAAAUAUGUAUGAAUCGCGUUAGAACGUGUCGUACAAUGUGUUAGCCGUGUAACACGUAAGCAUAAUACGAGAAUAGAGAGAACGUUGUCGUUGGUAACGAGGUACGAACACGCACGCGUUGUACACGGGUUUCUUGUGUUCGUUGUAGUCGAAUAUCACGUCUUUAAUUCGAGAGGGUCAUGAGCGCGAAAUACCUAAGUGCUUAAAGAACGAGGAACAUUGAUGUAGUAGUUGUUACAAUUGUAAUAGUGACUUGAAAGAUGGAAUGAAAGGCUGUAAAAAUCAUAAUUAAUCAGCAACGCAAGUUAUGUAUUUGAAACAUAAUUUGAUUUAAUUAAGCUUACUUUAAAAUCGUCGCAUGGACAUAUAACCAUCAAAUAUGGUACACAAUAGUACGAACAGGAAGACGCAACGCGUCAUCUUUCUUAUCCGGUUUACUUUAAAAGGUGUGGUUAUUAUUCACGCGUAUUUAUUAAGAAAUUACAUUCGACUUUAAAAUUACACUGUACAAUGAUCAAAAGUAUCAUUCAAAAAAUAUUUCGUUAUAAAUUUUCAAUUCAAGUUCACACAGAUUCGUCAAUUCAAUUUAUUUCAACGCAUAGUUCAAUUUUUCUAGAAACACCUUGAUUCUUUUUAAUUUUUCGUCCGGUUUUUUUUCGGUUUCGUGUGACAAUAUUGCCAUUUUAUUUAGUAAAACACGAGUUGGCCUCGGCUUUGAAGAGGUAUUAAGAAGGUCAGAGUGCAAGGUCCGAGGAGAAAUUCGCUGCGAAAUCGCAAUCUCGUUGAUCGAGACACAGCGUUUACGCUCGUGACUUCGGCAAGGUUGAACGAACCUUCGAGCAGUUCUCGACGACCUCGAGAGAAGAUAUUUUUCUACACGAAUCGCGGCGGGCUCUGUGAUCGCGAUAAAUGGAAGUCCUCGACAAGCAUGGGAAAGAUAUUGGAUUAAAUUGUGUAUUCAGAUGGCCGGAAGACGCGUCAAACAUCUUCGCCAUAAUGAAUUAGCCUUCGUUAGCGUGGAACUGAAUGAUGAUUGCAUUUUGAUAUCGCUUUAAUAAUAAUGAUAUUAUUAUUACACGAGUAUUAACACGCUAUUUGAUAAAUUAACGCGUAAUACGAUACAUAUAAGAAAUGGAAGGAAAAUGUAAGUAUAAAAAAGCAUAAAAAGGGAAAGGAAAAUUCAUAUAAAAAAUUGUAUUUAGCGGAAAUGAUAUUUAUAAUUCUACAGAACCGGGAUUAUUGAACGAAUUCGUAACAGCUUAUAUCACUUGCAAGCACAUAUAUGGUUCAUAUAUAUUAGUUUCUUUGACAAUUGUUAUCGAACUUACUUCUACUUACUCCAUUCUUAGAGGUUUAACCUUCGAAUAUUCAAUAUCAAUUAUCAUCUCGUAAGAAAUUUCUUAAAAAUUUAAUAAAUUGUAUUCAUAAUAUAUCUUUUCAUUCAUAUCUCGGCAAGAAAUUAGAAGAAAAUGGCGGAAAUGAUCGAUCAAAUUGUAAAAGUUAAAUAAUUUAUACACAUACAAAAAAAUUCGUUUAUUCAAAACUUAUCGUAUAUCUUUCUAUUCAUAUCCAUUCAUUCAUAUUACGAUAAAAAAAAUAGCGGAAAUGGUUAAUCAAGUUUGAAUCUGCAUUUACGAGAAACGCAGAAAAAUUAAUCUCGAAUCAAAAUUCGAUACAUCUUUUCUAAUUAAUCUUUUUAUAUGUAAAUUGGCGGGAAAUAAUUGGAAGAAAAUAUGAAUUGAUCGGUUUAUAAAAAGGGCAUUUUGCGAAUUAGUACCGCGUAUAAUAUCGUUCGAAAUAUCAAGUAUCGUAAUCGUGGUUACGUCGCGCGGAUUAUGUCAUCAUCACGUGCUGUUUCGCAGCUGUAAAACACGCGGGAAUCUAACGUGUGAUAAAAGAAUGUCUGCAAUGGUACAACUGUUUUUUUUUCCCAUCCCAGGGACGAACAGACGAUCAUGCCACGCUUUUCGAAGAAUAAUAAUUGACUUGUUGCUGUUGAUACAUAAAAAAGGAAAAUAAAAAA